AGGAAGGAAGGGAAGGGAAGGGCAGGGCAUUGUAGAGUGUGCUUACACAAACCUAGAUGGCAUAGCCUACUAAAAUACAGCAUUAUAAUGUGGGACUACCAUUGCAUAUGUUGUUCAUUAUUGACCAAACCAUUGUUAAGAGGCAUGUGGCUGUAUUUGGGAAUUAGGCCCUUGGAAGGUAAUUAAGAUUAAAUGAGUCAUAGGGUGGGGGCCUGAACUGACAGGAUUAGUGCCCUUAUAAGAAGUGACACCGGAGAGCUGACCCUCUUCCCUCCCACACACAUACCAAGGAAAGGCCAUAUGAGGAUGCAGCAAGAAGGCAGCCACCUGCAAGCCAAGAAGAGCGCCCUCACCUGAAACCAAGCCCUGCUGGCCCCUUGAUCUUGGACUUCCCAGCCUCCAGAACUUGUCUGAGCUGACGCAGCUUCAGGAGAGGCCAAGACCAAGCUGCAAGAAGAGAAAACUAGAAUGAACUCGACCUCUCUCAGAUUGACAUCCCUCUCCAGAGGUGUCCAGGGAUGGUGUUUUUAAACCCAGAAUUCAGGAGAAACUUACUAGAAGGCACAGAUUUUGAUGAAGUGCAAGAACGGGCUAAUAGACAUAUACACCACGGAAUACUAUGCAGCCAUAAAAAGAAUGAAAUCAUACCCUUUGCAGCAACAUGGAUGCA